GCUUACGAUCAUACCACGCUGAAUAUACGCGAACUCGUCAAAUCUCGCAAGUCAAGCAGCGUCGGGCCUGGUCAGUACUUGGAUCGGAGACGGCUUGGGAAUCCCAGGUGUCGUAUGCU
rfam:Steinernema glaseri strain NC unplaced genomic scaffold GLAS_503, whole genome shotgun sequence.